rnacentral:lncRNA from 1 species
UCUCCCCUCCUCUCCUUCCUCAUCUAUUUUUCUGCUCAUCCUCCUCCUCUUUCAAGUUGCCCAUAAGCCAUUUCCUCUCUCCUCUUUCCUUUCCUUACUUUCAUCUCCUCCUUCUCCUCUAAUUCCAUCAAUGAGGCCUUCGAUGCCAUUCUUCUUCUCUAUGCCAACCCCUACAACCCUACUUUCUCCCUCUAUGAUGGCUCCCUCUAUCUCCAUCUCUUUCUCAUUAGCAACCCCUUCCAUAUGAGCAAGAUGUGUUUCAUUCAUUGAGAGAAAAAGCUAACAUC